rnacentral:lncRNA from 1 species
CUCUCUCCCCACUCUCCUUUUUUGCUUUUUCCUGUUAUCCCCCAUCAUUUCUAGGCUAGUUGCCUUUAGCUCACACAUUUGUUUUGUUUUGAGACAGGGUCUCACUAUGUUGCCCAGGCUGGAGUGCAGUGGCUGUACAUAGGCAUGAUCCCACUACUGAUCUGCAUGGGAACUUUGACCUGCUCCAUUUCCGACCCGGAACGGUUCACCCAUUCUUAGGCAACCUGGUGGUCCCCAGCUCCCUGGGGGUAUACCUUAUUGAUGCUAAACUUAGUGCGGACACCUGAUUGGUAUAGUGCACUACAGCCCAGAACUCCUGGGCUCAGGCCUCCUGAAUAGCUGGGACUACAGGUGCAUGCCACCAUGCCCAGCAGCUCACACUUUGUCUAACAACUUUGUUCCAAGAGUACUCUCAGCAAAGACCACAACCACAUUCUCAGUUUCUGGGGUUGAGGGCACGGUGUCACUUGUUUCCUAAGUAUCAGUUUACUCAUCAGUAAAAUGAGCAUUGUUUAUAGCACUUUGCCAAGUGUUUUCUCAUGUGAUCUGUACAACAAUGCUGGUAGGCAAAGUUUUCAUUCAUCUCAGUCAAUAUUUAUGGAGUGCUGGCCAGGCGUGGUGGCUCACGCCUGUAAUCCCAGCACUUUGGGAGGCCAAGGUGGGCGGAUCUCCUGAGGUCAGGAGUUCAAGACCAGCCUGGCCAACAUGGUGAAACCCCGUCUGUACUAAAAAUACGAAAAUCAGCUGGGUAUGGUGGCAGGC